UUCCUGGAGGACUAGUGGUUAUGCCUCGGCACUCUCACCGCCACAGCCUGGGUUUGAUUCCCGGCCAGGGUU